rnacentral:rRNA from 1 species
GUGGAUUAGAUACCCUGGUAGUCCACGCCGUAAACGAUGAUGACUAGCUGUCGGGGCUCAUGGAGUUUCGGUGGCGCAGCUAACGCGUUAAGUCAUCCGCCUGGGGAGUACGGCCGCAAGGUUAAAACUCAAAGAAAUUGACGGGGGCCUGCACAAGCGGUGGAGCAUGUGGUUUAAUUCGAAGCAACGCGCAGAACCUUACCAGCGUUUGACAUGGUAGGACGACUUCCAGAGAUGGAUUUCUCCCUUCGGGGCCUACACACAGGUGCUGCACGGUUGUCGUCAGCU